AGUCGAACGAAUCCCCGAGGGCUUGCCCUUGGGGGGAAGUGGCGAAAGGGGCAGUAAGACGUGGGCAACCUACCCUGGGGACUGGGAUAGCCCUCCUAACGGAGGGGUAAUACCGGGCGACGUGAGCGGAAGGCAUCUUCUGUUCACCAAAUGAGCUUCGCCCCGGGACGGGCUCACGUGGUAUUAGCUGGUUGGUGAGGUAACGGCUCACCAAGGCCAAGAUGCCUAGCGGGUGUGAGAGCACGACCCGCGCCACUGGCACUGGGACACUGGCCAGACUCCUACGGGAGGCUGCAGUCGAGGAUCUUCGGCAAUGGGCGCAAGCCUGACCGAGCGACGCCGCGUGUGCGAUGAAGGCCUUCGGGUUGUAAGCACUGUCGAGGGGGAGGAAAGCCCGCAAGGGUCUGACCUAUCCCUGGAGGAAGCACGGGCUAAGUUCGUGCCAGCAGCCGCGGUAAGACGAACCGUGCGAACGUUGUUCGGAUUCACUGGGCUUAAAGGGCGCGUANGCGGAAGGUCAAGUCCGAGGUGAAAUCUUUCGGCUCAACCGGAAAAGUGCCUUGGAUACGGAUCUUCUCGAGGGAGGUAGGGGCAUGUGGAACUUCCGGUGGAGCGGUGAAAUGCGUAGAUAUCGGAAGGAACGCCGGUGGCGAAAGCGACGUGCUGGACCUCUUCUGACGCUGAGGCGCGAAAGCCAGGGGAGCAAACGGGAUUAGAUACCCCGGUAGUCCUGACCCUAAACGAUGGGUACUAGGUAGUGGACUUGACAUGGGUUCACUGCCGAAGCAAAAGUGGUAAGUACCCCGCCUGGGGGAGUAUGGUC
rnacentral:rRNA from 1 species